UACGAAGGGAGCUAGCGUUGUUCGGAAUUACUGGGCGUAAAGGGCGCGUAGGCGGACAUCUAAGUCAGGGGUGAAAUCCCAGGGCUCAACCCUGGAAUUGCCUUUGAUACUGGACGUCUCGAGUUCGGGAGAGGUGAGUGGAACUGCGAGUGUAGAGGUGAAAUUCGUAGAUAUUCGCAAGAACACCAGUGGCGAAGGCGGCUCACUGGCCCGGUACUGACGCUGAGGUGCGAAAGCGUGGGGAGCAAACAGG
rnacentral:rRNA from 1 species